CGAGAGAAGCCAGUUGAUUAGGGUGUUUAGCUGUUAACUAAAUUUUUGUGGGAUGGAGGCCCACCAAUCUAGUAAGGGCUUAGCUUAAUUAAAGUGUUUGAUUUGCAAUCAAUUGCUGUAGGAUAGAUUCUUGCAGUCCUUAGAGUUGGCUAGAUGUGCAUGAU